rnacentral:rRNA from 1 species
CGCCCAGCCGGUGGAGCAUGUGGUUUAAUUCGAAGCAACGCGCAGAACCUUACCAGCUCUUGACAUUCGGGGUAUGGGCAUUGGAGACGAUGUCCUUCAGUUAGGCUGGCCCCAGAACAGGUGCUGCAUGGCUGUCGUCAGCUCGUGUCGUGAGAUGUUGGGUUAAGUCCCGCAACGAGCGCAACCCUCGCCCUUAGUUGCCAGCAUUUAGUUGGGCACUCUAAGGGGACUGCCGGUGAUAAGCCGAGAGGAAGGUGGGGAUGACGUCAAGUCCUCAUGGCCCUUACGGGCUGGGCUACACACGUGCUACAAUGGUGGUGACAGUGGGCAGCGAGACAGCGAUGUCGAGCUAAUCUCCAAAAGCCAUCUCAGUUCGGAUUGCACUCUGCAACUCGAGUGCAUGAAGUUGGAAUCGCUAGUAAUCGCAAAUCACCAUGCUGCGGUGAAUACGUUCCCGGGCCUUGUACACACCGCCCGUG